GACGAACGCUGGCGGCGUGCUUAACACAUGCAAGUCGAACGAAGAGCGAUGGAAGCUUGCUUCUAUCAAUCUUAGUGGCGAACGGGUGAGUAACGCGUAAUCAACCUGCCCUUCAGAGGGGGACAACAGUUGGAAACGACUGCUAAUACCGCAUACGAUCCGACCUCGGCAUCGAGGAUGGAUGAAAGGUGGCCUCUAUUUAUAAGCUAUCACUGAAGGAGGGGAUUGCGUCUGAUUAGCUAGUUGGGGGGGUAACGGCCCACCAAGGCAAUGAUCAGUAGCCGGUCUGAGAGGAUGAACGGCCACAUUGGGACUGAGACACGGCCCAGACUCCUACGGGAGGCAGCAGUGGGGAAUCUUCCGCAAUGGACGAAAGUCUGACGGAGCAACGCCGCGUGAGUGAUGACGGCCUUCGGGUUGUAAAGCUCUGUUAAUCGGGACGAAAGGUCUUCUUGCGAAUAGUUAGAAGAAUUGACGGUACCGGAAUAGAAAGCCACGGCUAACUACGUG
rnacentral:rRNA from 1 species